CUCCGCUCCUCGCUCCUUUCUUUCGGCGAGGCUGGGCCGGCCUGCAUCACCGUGACAUCACCUCCAUUCAGGGCGCUCACCGAGCGCCCGCCGAGCUCCAGGGCUACACCUGGCCAGCAGUCAUCAGACCGCUACAAGCACACCUGGAGGUUCUUUGCAUCCAAUUUUCAUAGGCGAUACUGCUCACUCAAAGCCAUUCAGGGACAUUCCUUACAACACUGGAGCAGAAAAGCCUGUGUGCGGUCUCUCUCUCACCCGGCCGGAGCACGCCAUCUCCUCCCUGCAUUGAGACUGGAAGCCUGCCAGCCCCACAGCCUGCUUUCCAGGGCCCAGGUCUGUGCUGGACUCUUCUGGAGAAAGGAAGAGUGGAGGCUGAAGACAGAAAGAGACACAGCCGAGCUGCCCGAGCUGCAUGCGGGACCUCUGCCCACCCCUCUCCUGCGGCUGCAUGAUGGUCAUCGGAAGGGCCAUGACUGGGCAGGGAGGACCUGUCACCUCCCCUCCGUGGACUCCCUCCUCUGCUGCACAGCACCAGCUCCACAGCCCAGAGGGAAGAAACUGAGUCAAAGGAGAGCAGGCGGCGCUCACGGCUCAGGGCAGCGGUCAGGCGGAGUCAGGCCCUAACCUGCGUCCUCUGGGAAGAACUGAAGGCCGCCUCAGCUCCGCUUCAAAGAGAGGAAGGUGAGGAGGGAAGGAGCCCGGGUUGGCAGCCGCGCACCCUCCCGGGUGAGAGCCCGCCAGGCCCUCUGGAUAGAAGUCAAGGGCUCCAGGUUAGAUCAGAUGGAGGGGUGACGCUGGACCAUCCCCC
rnacentral:lncRNA from 1 species